GCAUCUUAUAACUUGUGUAAUGUGUUUCUUUUACGAAUUUGUAUAUUGGCAUAAUCAUAUCAUGCUAUUCCUACAAUUAUAUAACUCACACUGACUCUCAUAAGUUUGAGUCUCAAGUCACGAAAAAGGGCCAACUCUCACGUGUCGGCGGAAAGUUACCAAAAUAUGUUAAGGACUUAAUUCAGAGAUAAUGUUGCUAAACGAUUUGCAGUCGAUAAUCUUUCAAAAGCAGAAAAACUCAGGUUAGCAUCAAAUAGAAAGUUAGCGCAAUUUCUGGUAUUUG
rnacentral:lncRNA from 1 species